GUAAACCUAAUCUACCCAGUAUUCACACUUUAAUGGCUGCAAACCAUUAGUCUUGCACGACUUGUCUUAUCGUCUUUCUCACACAUUCCAUCCGGCUUUCUUUGCUAUCCUAUUUUGAAAAACAAAUUUCUCCUAAUCAAUUAGUCUAGAUUCCUUGCCCGUUGUUCUACUUCACCGCCAGUGUGCCGAAUCAGUUCUUCGCUCUCUAGGUGUGUAUUCUCUCCUUUCUUCAAUGAUUCACUUCCGAUAUUAUGAGCUCUCCUAUUUUUUGUUCUCUGAAAGUAUUUGAACUUGAUCUUUUGAAAGCAUGAUUUCUUGCUGUGGAUGUCUUCAAUAAUUGUUCCGAUAACUAAGUAAUCCCUUUUUGUCGACUGGAAUUUUUAAAUUAGUGUUCUUGAGUCACCCAAUAUCUGAACUUCCUGAAAACCCAUUUUGAUUCCUAACUUUACUACAUCCAUCCCUGCAUGUGCCUCUACUACGAACGGAGAUGCAAUAUUGGCAUGAAUGAUUGACUUUGAAACCAGAAACUCGUCCCUCGUGCCCCAAAUUACCAACCCUGACGUCGAUCUGUGCUCUUUGUAGUCAAACGCCACAUCAAAUUGAAUCUUCACCAUCAGUAUGUCUUCCCUCACACUUUGUUUAUUGACCGCUUUUGUUAAAAUCUUUUUUGCUCUAAUCCCCUCAAACUCUGUCAUAUGAUUCUGAAUCUGUUGGGUGAUGCUUUCACCUGUUGUGUUUGUCUUCUCAUGCAACAGCCGAUUCCUUGAAAACCAGAGCAUCCAUAAGGCAAAACAAAAGUAUCUGCAUUGCUCCUCCGACCCUUUUUGAAAACCUUGGUAAGCCAUUCCCAGAAAUUAAGUUGAAAAAUAUCUGUGACCCAUGAUAAAUUUACUAACUGCCAAACUUCGAAGCUUGUAGGGUAUUUCCUGAAGAUAUGAUAACAGUCCUCCACUUCAUAGCCACAACAAGGGCAUCUGACGUUGGACACUAUUCUUCUAUAUCUGAGAUUUCCCAAAGUAGGAAUAUAAUUCCAAGAGAUGCGCCAGAUUGUAAUUGUAACUUUAAGUGGUAGUUGCAGAUUCCAUAAUUUUCUAAAAAAGUCCUUAGAUUUGGUAUGUAAUAAAUAAUCACUAGGAUCUAGAUUAACAAUUUGUAAUAGUUUGUAAGCACUGCGAACUGAGCAUGUACCAGUUGGUUCACCCCUCUAAACUUGAAAAUCUUCGUGGUCAGAUUCUGAUAAUGGGAUCCGUAAGAUUGAUCGAGUCACCUCUAGUUGAAAGGUAUUGCUAAUUAACUCUACCCUCUAUUUCCUAUUAGUAUUAUCAAUAAGAUCUGAAACUAACUUUAUCCGCAUAUUUUCUAAAUUGUUUGGCCUUUCCAAUAAAUCAAUCCCCUAAAUCCAACAAUCAUCUCAAAUAGAUACCUUAUUUCCUCGCCCAAUUCUCCAGCAUAAUCCUUUUUCAAGGAGACUCUUGGUUGCCCAAAUGCUCUUCCAGGUAAGUGAAGGUAAAGUUCCUAACUGAGCCUCUAAGAAAUUUGAUCUCGGAUAGUAUUUUACUUUCAAAACCCUAGCUAAUAAUGAACAAGGAUAACUAAUCAAAUGCCAACCUUGUUUAGCAAGUAAUGCAAUAUUAAAUUAACUUAAAUUACGAAAAUAGAAGCCGCCAUUUUCUUUUAAAAAACAAAGGUUUUUCCAAAUACACCAAUGAAUUUCCCUCUUCCCCUGACCCUGUUGCCACCAAUACUUUGCUUAAAUACUUUCAAGCUCCUCACAUAGUGACUUAGGUAAUAAAAAACAGGCCAUCGAAUAGGUUGGAAGAGCUACCAAAAUUGCUUUAAUAAAAAGCUCUUUCCCACAUUGCGAAAGAAACCUGGUACUCUAGUUAUCUAUUCGUUUUUUAAUACGGUCUUUCAAAUUCUGAGAUGUAUCCUUUUUCCUCCUCCCUACCAUAUUUGGUAAACCAAUAUACCUCCCUGGCUUGUUAGAGCUACAAACACCCAGUAAAUUGACUACCCAAUUCUUGUCUUCCUCUGAAGUGUUCUUGUUGAAGAAAACUGUUAAUUUAUCAUAAUUCAUACACUGACCCGAACAACUUCUGUAUUCUUACAAAAUACUUUUUAAUGCUUACGUCCCUCUUCUUGUGGCUUCUUUGAAUCAAAUGCAAUCAUUUGCAAAUAAUAGAUGCAAAAUCAAAGGACCA
rnacentral:lncRNA from 1 species